rnacentral:lncRNA from 10 species
AGUGUACAGCAGAAUGAGCCUCCUGUCACCAGCCCAGAGCUCUCAGACAGAAUUGAGUUCCUGUACAGUAGGACUUUCCACUCAUGUCUGUGGUCUAGGAGGAGAUUGGGUUGGGCAAACACCAGGCACGAUGGAGCAACCAUUAACCCUGGAGUUGUGAAGACAGGACCACAAGCUGAGAGAGGGCAGCAAUGGAAACCCAGCCAAACUAUUAAUGGAAGGCUGGGUCCCAUUCUUUAUUAUCCUUCUGUGGUCUCGUCACCAGCAGGGUGAGCCAAAGCCGAGGGCAAGAACACGCUGGGUGACCUUCCACACCCCAAAUGCAAGAUCAAGUGCUGUGGAGAAGGAGCUAUGGAAAACUAAGAAAAGAUUUUGAAAAGAUGCCUUCUAGCCCAUGUUUAAAUCUAGUUCACAUGGCAGAACCAGCAGCCAGGACUUCUAAGAAAAACAUGCCACUGUGUCUCGUGUUGCCCAGGCCCAUGGAAGAACUCGCUAGUGGAAACUGUCAACAUUGACUAGCUAUCAUGAGCCAGGACUGAUGGGAUGACGUGAGCAGAGGACACCAUUAUUUUGUGCUUCAUCAAAGUUGCAAGCUUAAUAAGUGACAAAGUGGGGUCCAAAACCCAAUUGCAGCUAGCCUUUUUAUUUAUACUGCUUCUCGGGUGAAGAGUCACUGACUGGUAAUCUCUGGAAAAACAAACAAGCCCCAUUUUACAGAUGAGGAAACAGAUCCCAGGAAGGCUAGGCACCAGGCCCAGGGCCUCAUCUGCUACAGGUUGGCCCCGGGUACAAGCCCAGGCAGUUGGACUCUCGUGUUUUCACCUCACUUCUAGUCAAUUCCACCUGUUUGAUUCACUCAUCGUUUACCAUUGGCCCCCUGUGGCCCCCUGGAGGCAGGAAGUCUCUUUUUGACCAUCUUCCAUGUUCAAAGUCCUACUGGGAAGAGCAAGCCUUUUAUUUGUUGCCUGUGAAGGUCUUGACUGGACUUUAUGGUCAUUUCUGGAUGAUGGUGUGGAGUGGCUUCGGAGGCAGCAGAACUGCAACUUGAUCCCAGACCUUCUGCCACCAAGUCUUGGCAUUUUCUUCAGAGCAUUGGUGUCUGGAAGCUCAGAGAAUCCCUGUGUGAAUGCAGCCGUCCUGGUCACAGGGCAAUAGAGAUGAGCUCCCUCCCUCUCAGCAAAAGUUUCCAAGUGUCACCUUAAGUAAGGCCCCUCCAAUGCUGCUGGCAGGACUGUGAACUGGUACUAUUUUUCCUGAGGACAACUGGGUAACACAUAUCAAAC